rnacentral:rRNA from 1 species
UACGAAGGGUGCUAGCGUUGUUCGGAAUUACUGGGCGUAAAGCGCGCGUAGGCGGUGAUGCAAGUCAGGGGUGAAAUCCCGGAGCUUAACUCCGGAACUGCCUUUGAAACUGCAUUGCUGGAGUGUGUGAGGGGAUAGCGGAAUUCCUAAUGUAGAGGUGAAAUUCGUAGAUAUUCGCAAGAACACCAGUGGCGAAGGCGGCUCACUGGCCGGUACU